ACCACACGUCCACAUACUCCCAAAUCUCCCUCCAGCGCCGCAGCUAGCCCGAGAAGCCGACGAGGAGGAAACCGACCGCCGACGCCGAGCACCCUCGGUUCCUGGCUUUCCCGGCGCCCAAUCUAGACAGCUCUUUCUCGUUCGUCUGUAUCCAUGGCCGCCGCCUCGAGCAAGACCAUCGCUGUCCUCCUCGCCGCGCUGCUCCUCGCGCUGGUCGCGUCCGCGGUGGCCAGCAGGAAGCUGGAGGAGGAGGACGCUUUCCUGGGAAGCCUUUCGCCGGCGCCUGCCCCCGCCGAGGGCGGAGCCGCGGGGCUCGCUAGCGGCACGCCGGGGGCGUGGGCCGUCGCCGCUCUGGUCUCUCUCAUCGCCUUCCUCGCGAACUGAGCGGGUCCUGCGAUCUGGAUUGCUGCGGGCGGAGGGGAACAUUUAUGCUCGCCCUGUUUGUUCUAGGCUAUCGGUUCCAGUGCUGCUGUCCUCACUUUUGGCUGUAUAAGAGAGGAUUACGCACCGUUUCAUUUUAUACUACUACUUAUCUGUUACUAGUGUAUUGCGCGCGCCUAUGCGCGCGUGCUGAAUAGCAACUUGAAAUGUUUUAUGAGGAUAUCGAAUUGGAUG